rnacentral:rRNA from 1 species
AUACGGAGGAUCCGAGCGUUAUCCGGAUUUAUUGGGUUUAAAGGGUGCGCAGGCGGGAGAUUAAGUCGGCGGUGAAAUUUUGCAGCUCAACUGUAAAAGUGCCUUCGAAACUGGUUUCCUUGAGUGUAGAUGAAGUAGGCGGAAUUUGUGGUGUAGCGGUGAAAUGCAUAGAUAUCACGAGGAAAUCCGAUUGCGCAGGCAGCUUACUAAACUACUACUGACGCUCAGGCACGAAGGCGUGGGGAUCAAACAGGAUUAGAUACCCUGGUAGUCCACGCAGUAAACGAUGAUUACUAGCUGUUUGCGAUACAAUGUAAGCGGCUGAGCGAAAGCGUUAAGUAAUCCACCUGGGGAGUACGUUCGCAAGAAUGAAACUCAAAUGAAUUGACGGGG